GAUGAACGCUGGCGGCGUGCCUAAUACAUGCAAGUCGAGCGAACAGACGAGGAGCUUGCUCCUCUGACGUUAGCGGCGGACGGGUGAGUAACACGUGGAUAACCUACCUAUAAGACUGGGAUAACUUCGGGAAACCGGAGCUAAUACCGGAUAAUAUAUUGAACCGCAUGGUUCAAUAGUGAAAGACGGUUUUGCUGUCACUUAUAGAUGGAUCCGCGCCGCAUUAGCUAGUUGGUAAGGUAACGGCUUACCAAGGCAACGAUGCGUAGCCGACCUGAGAGGGUGAUCGGCCACACUAGAACUGAGACACGGUCCAGACGCCUAAGGGAGGCAGCAGUAGGGAAACUUCCGCAAUGGGCGAAAGACUGACGGAGCAAAGCCGCGUGAGUGAUGAAGGUAUUCGGAUCGUAAAACUCUGUUAUUAGGGAAGAACAAAUGUGUAAGUAACUAUGCACGUCUUGACGGUACCGAAUCAGAAAGCCACGGCUAACUACGUG
rnacentral:rRNA from 1 species